UGAACGCUGGCGGCAUGCUUUACACAUGCAGGUCGAGCGGCAGCGCGGGGGCAACCCUGGCGGCGAGCGGCGAACGGGUGAGUAAUGCAUCGGAACGUGUCCCGUAAUGGGGGAUAACGCCGCGAAAGCGGCGCUAAUACCGCAUACGCUCUACGGAGGAAAGUGGGGGACCUGCAAGGGCCUCACGUUAGGGGAGCGGCCGAUGUCCGAUUAGCUAGUUGGUGGGGUAAUGGCUUACCAAGGCGACGAUCGGUAGCUGGUCUGAGAGGAUGAUCAGCCACACUGGGACUGAGACACGGCCCAGACUCCUACGGGAGGCAGCAGUGGGGAAUUUUGGACAAUGGGGGCGACCCUGAUCCAGCCAUGCCGCGUGCGGGAAGAAGGCCUUCGGGUUGUAAACCGCUUUUAGCCGGGAAGAAAAGGCUUGGGCUAAUACCCUGAGUUUUUGACGGUACCGGCGGAAUAAGCACCGGCUAACUACGUGCCAGCAGCCGCGGUAAUACGUAGGGUGCGAGCGUUAAUCGGAAUUACUGGGCGUAAAGCGUGCGCAGGCGGUUCGUUGUGUCGGUGGUGAAAGCUCCGGGCUUAACCUGGGAAUGGCCAUGGAAACUGGCGAACUGGAGUGUGGCA
rnacentral:rRNA from 1 species